CCCCCUUCCUCCCCCAUCCUACCAAGGGCAUAAAUAAUACAUUAGUAUCCAAACCGUUUUUCUACAGCUUCAUCAAAACGAGGCAAAUGGCUUCCAACAUUGAAUUUCUCAACCAAUCCUGUAUUUCAGAAUAAAGGUUUCUGUGACCUGUUUUGACCUCAGGUUAAAUAUAUUUGUUGUAACAUGUCUAUACAGAGUUUAAAACUUUAAUUUGCUAUACCAAUCUGUGGUCGGGGCAUCAGGGUGGAUCUCCAUUCCCUAUAUUCUGGAAUGCCUGAAUUCAGUUCUUCAGUAUGAAGAGCUGAUAUAACUAGAGGUAAAGUGUAAUAUGGGGGCCAUAUCUGUAAACAAUUCACUUAUUUAGGAAUACACAUGAUUAUGAAGCUUUGGUUUAUCCAAAACUUGUGUACAAAUUGUUAUUUAUAAUCUUAAUAUUUUUAAAUCUUAUCAUGCGGGAUUGGUCUUCGUCUCGCAUAUUUUAUUUUGCACACUGGGGGGGGGGGGGAAUCUAAAACUACCUGUGAAGUUGAAGCACCUUUUAAAAAGUCUUUACAACUUUGUGCUGUCUGUCCCAUAGCUGAAUAAAAAUGCAUUCAAACUUGCAAAUCCUGUUUUUUUAAAAAAUGGGAGUCUGGCUGCUUCGGACUUGCCCUGUAAGGAUGGAGCAAGCUCCAGUAACAACUAUAAUAUCUGACAUUGAGUAUAAAACAUGUCAAGUGUGUGUUUUCAUUUGUGGAGUGGCUUCAACUGGUCACACAGCAAUUCAAUUGUGUGUUUGUUUUUUUGGAUGUUCAAUAUUUUAAUAGGGUGUUCAACUGGCGUCUAUGUAGGCUUGAGUAAACUACAUAGGAUGCCUUCUCGUGGAGGAGUGAUUGGCUUGUUCUAAGGGUUCUGAUUAUUUCUGAUUCCUAUAUUCAGGUAUUCAUUUUGUAAUCCUGGUACUUCACAAAUAGCUGUAGACGUUUGUUUAUACGGGGACCCUGUUCAGUACCCGGGUUCGACAUUGUGAUAGGACUCUGAAAAGUUUCUCAUUAGGAUCACAACCUGCAAUACUAGGUAUGUAAAAUAAACUCUAUCUAUCUUCACAUCCAUGUUUAUUUGCACCAUGUUUGAGCCCCAGUUGGUUCUGUGCUGUAGUAACUUUCCCAUUACUACCAGCUCUUUCAGACUGUGGAAAUGAGGACUGUUUAUGGUUCCUCAUACCCUCUUUUUAUUCCUACCUGUAAACUAUAUGAUGAAUUUUGGUUGCCGCUGGCAAUUAUAUAUAUUUAAAUGAAUGUACCCUGUACUAUGAAUAGAUAAUUCAUGGCAUUAAAAACAAUUGGAGCCUGAAACGCAAUUUGCCGUGGUAGCCUCUUCCUGUCGUGUUUUGAUAGUUGUUUGACGUGUGUGUUUUAUUUAUUUGAACUGUUUAUUAGAUUUAUAUUAUUGUCAUUCUUUGUAUAAGCAACAUUUUGUAGCCUUUAUUUUUCAGUAUAGUUACUGAAACCGCACAGAAGUGUUUGCAGGAGAUGUAACCAUAUUGUGCAAGGAUAAGCGAGCGCAAGCAAGACAGCACCCAGUGAAUGGAUGCUAAUCCCUUGACAGAUGAGCUCAGGCCCAGGUCCAGUCACGAGAGGAAAGAUUGCACACACAGGAUUCAUUUGUUCAGCCUUAUUUACAGCGUCUGCGGUUGGUCUUCAUAUCCCGUCACUCCCUGAAGUGUGCUGAGGCUGGUCUCCAUGGGCCUGCAGUGAAUCCUUUAUCCAGCGUCUCUCAACACCAUGGAACUCCAUCCCUAAAGACUUGGCUCACGUUCAGCACAGGAGUUCAGAUCAUUGUUAUACUGACUGUACCAGCUGGUCCUGGCCUGGCGUGUACAGCACAUUGGGAAGCGCUUGUAUCGCAUUGUGAAUGAAAUAAAAUGUAUUUUGAAGUAGUUUUGAAAUGUUGUUGUUGGCGGUUUCCAAAAGCUAGGAAACCAGAGUAGUUUGCAAUGACUAAAUGAAUGUAAAAAUAUUAAGUUAAACUUGCUAACAAUUUUCUGAAGGUUAUUUUUUUGGGGGAUAAUGUUACAAAACAAGUACAUCUGAAUGUAGCCCCUGAUCUGCCAUUAUUAACUUUUGAGGGGGAUUUGCACACCAAAAAAAAUUAAUAAAUUCUUGAAAUAUUGCAGCAUUUUUAUUUAUUCAUCCCUCAACACAGUUUGUGAAACUACCCUUGUGGAAAGCAGUAAAUAACACUGGUUA